rnacentral:rRNA from 1 species
AUUGAACGCUGGCGGCAUGCCUUACACAUGCAAGUCGAACGGUAACAGGUUAAGCUGACGAGUGGCGAACGGGUGAGUAAUACAUCGGAACGUGCCCAGACGUGGGGGAUAACGUAGCGAAAGCUACGCUAAUACCGCAUACGAACUGAGGUUGAAAGCGGGGGACCGUAAGGCCUCGCGCGUUUGGAGCGGCCGAUGGCAGAUUAGGUAGUUGGUGGGGUAAAGGCUUACCAAGCCUGCGAUCUGUAGCUGGUCUGAGAGGACGACCAGCCACACUGGGACUGAGACACGGCCCAGACUCCUACGGGAGGCAGCAGUGGGGAAUUUUGGACAAUGGGCGCAAGCCUGAUCCAGCAAUGCCGCGUGCAGGAUGAAGGCCUUCGGGUUGUAAACUGCUUUUGUACGGAGCGAAACGGCUUCCACUAAUACUGGGGGCUAAUGACGGUACCGUAAGAAUAAGCACCGGCUAACUACGUGCCAGCAGCCGCAGUAAUAC